AGACUGUCAGAGUCCUCACAGGCACAUUUUUGACUCUCAGACUGUGGGGCAUGUUCAUUUCAUUAAGCUUUGCAUUUUGGGUAGAAAGGGUGGAAAGAGAAGUAGUUACCAUCCAGUUGUGAGGAGCUCUUUCUAGAGCAAGCCAGAAAGCUUUCCCAAGUGCCUGCACAUGUAAUUCUGUCUUUGGGCAUAUGAGCCUCACAAUACCUUGUUAAUAUGUUUAAUCUUUCAAGUGUUUUAUACCUUCCAUGGCUCUUUGUUUUGAAACAACAUGUUUCAGUCUGAAAAGAUACAACUGGAAAGUGAAACUCUCUGAUGUUGAGUGGUGCUUCUGGCACUCUGGGUGGUGAUGCUCACCACCAUUUUCCAUGAUGUCUUCUACCCCUGCCCAGUAAGUGGGAGAAAAGCUGGAGAGAGUAAAAAGAUUACACACAGCAACUGAAUUCUAAUGAUAAAUGUAUCUUACAUGCUUAAAGAUUUGUUCCUGACCAAUGUUUCUCAGCUGACCUUAUGGAAAAGACCCAAACCAACCCAAACAACUUGGAGAAGAUUUAAAUGUUAAACUGGAGCUAGUUAUGUUUUAGGAAAUGUCCAUGAGGCCUCACAAUUUGCAAAGGUGUGAUGUUUCCACGAACUGGUGACCAUGAGCAGCAGAGUGAGCUGUACCUUUUGCUGGUGGGCUACAGCACUGCAGAACAGCACAAGAGCUGCUGCCCACCUUCCUGUGGUUCCCCAGCUCACAUCAUCACAAUGUUAUGAAAAAGCCAGUGAAUGCUGUGGCAUACAACUGAGGAGCAAGACAACUUUGUUUGAAGAUCUUGUAUUAUUGAGCAUUUGGUGUUUGUCUUAGAGGCUCUAAAACCUUGAGGGAUCCUUGAUGGUGAGACUUCAGAGCUGGGCCCAGGUGGAGGAGAGUGAGCACAGCCCUGCCUUGCUAGAGACACAUUGUCUCACACCAUUCCUUUUCAUCUCAAUAAGGCAUAUCUCAGCACAAAUCCAGCAAGUAUAGAAGAGCAGGAGGAAAAUCAGCUGGUUUAGUACUGAACCAACCAUGUGGAGAUUUUUCCACCAUGCCAGAGGGGUCUCCAGAUUGACUUUUCUGGUUAUGUUACAUAAAGAAGAUGGAUUACAGCUGAGACUCUGUGCCUGUACUUCUGAGUCACUGAUGGACAAUAAUGGAAUAAAAACAUUGUCUUUUUUGUUAAAUUAGAAUUGGAUCAGCCUAGUGCUUGCUGUCCUUAUUUUCUAUUGCUAUCAGUAGAAAAAGAGUAGAAAAUACUCAAAGCAACCUCAAUUCAAAGUUAGCAAACCCAGCAGUUUAGAGGAAAAUAAACCAAAUAACAAUAGGCCAGGUUGUGCCACUGGACUUAGCACAAAGCUCUUCAUUAAGGCAAUCAGAGAAAAAUGGCAAGCUCUGUUUCUGGCCCAUUCAAAAGUGUGAUGUCAGAGAGUGUUCAUGCUGAGCAGGUUAAUGUAGGAAUGCAGAGAAUCCUGCUGCAAAAUGCUUCCAGAGAUAGUUUAACACCGUGGAAAUGAGUGACAAGAAAGUAAAUACAUCAUCUUGUACCAGCUGGGUAUGAAGUUGUACUGUGAUAAGCAAUGGAGUUUUAUUGAGAAAACACUAAUUAGCAAUAAAUGCCUGCAGUGGAAAGGGUA